rnacentral:tRNA from 1 species
GCUGAAGACAGAUCAAUGGUAGAGUGUUUGUCUAGCAUACAUGAGAUCCUGGGUUCAAUCCCCAGCACCA